rnacentral:rRNA from 1 species
ACGUACACUCCUGCGGGAGGCAGCAGUGGGGAAUAUUGGACAAUGGGCGAAAGCCUGAUCCAGCAAUGCCGCGUGAGUGAUGAAGGCCUUAGGGUUGUAAAGCUCUUUUACCCGGGAUGAUAAUGACAGUACCGGGAGAAUAAGCCCCGGCUAACUCCGUGCCAGCAGCCGCGGUAAUACGGAGGGGGCUAGCGUUGUUCGGAAUUACUGGGCGUAAAGCGCGCGUAGGCGGCUUUGUAAGUUAGAGGUGAAAGCCCGGAGCUCAACUUCGGAAUUGCCUUUAAGACUGCAUCGCUAGAAUCGUGGAGAGGUGAGUGGAAUUCCGAGUGUAGAGGUGAAAUUCGUAGAUAUUCGGAAGAACACCAGUGGCGAAGGCGACUCACUGGACACGUAUUGACGCUGAGGUGCGAAAGCGUGGGGGGCAAACAGGAUUAGAAACCCCUGUAGUCCCAU